GGUGUAGCUCAGUGGUAAAGCACUUGCCUGGCAUGCAAGAGGCCUUGGGUUCAGUCUCUAGCAAUGCCA
rnacentral:tRNA from 1 species